rnacentral:rRNA from 1 species
CCAUACGACCGUACCGCAAACCGACACUGGUGCGCGAGAUGAGUAUUCUAAGGCGCUUGAGAGAACUCAGGAGAAGGAACUCGGCAAAUUGACACCGUAACUUCGGAAGAAGGUGUGCCCUAUUAGUGUGUAGUGAACAACGAAGCAUGAAUGGGUUGCAAAAAAUCGGUGGCUGCGACUGUUUAUUAAAAACACAGCACUCUGCAAACACGAAAGUGGACGUAUAGGGUGUGACGCCUGCCCGGUGCUGGAAGAUUAAAUGAUGGGGUGCAAGCUCUUGAUUGAAGUCCCAGUAAACGGCGGCCGUAACUAUAACGGUCCUAAGGUAGCGAAAUUCCUUGUCGGGUAAGUUCCGACCUGCACGAAUGGCGUAACGAUGGCCACACUGUCUCCUCCUGAGACUCAGCGAAGUUGAAAUGUUUGUGAUGAUGCAAUCUCCCCGCGGAAAGACGGAAAGACCCCAUGAACCUUUACUGUAGCUUUGUAUUGGACUUUGAACAGAUCUGUGUAGGAUAGGUGGGAGGCUUUGAAGCAGGGUCGCUAGAUCUUGUGGAGCCAACGUUGAAAUACCACCCUGGUGUGUUUGAGGUUCUAACCUAGGUCCAUUAUCUGGAUCGGGGACAGUGCAUGGUAGGCAGUUUGACUGGGGCGGUCUCCUCCCAAAGCGUAACGGAGGAGUUCGAAGGUACGCUAGUUACGGUCGGACAUCGUGACGAUAGUGCAAUGGCAUAAGCGUGCUUAACUGCGAGACUGACAAGUCGAGCAGAUGCGAAAGCAGGACAUAGUGAUCCGGUGGUUCUGUAUGGAAGGGCCAUCGCUCAACGGAUAAAAGGUACUCUGGGGAUAACAGGCUGAUACCGCCCAAGAGUUCAUAUCGACGGCGGUGUUUGGCACCUCGAUGUCGGCUCAUCUCAUCCUGGGGCUGUAGCCGGUCCCAAGGGUAUGGCUGUUCGCCAUUUAAAGAGGUACGUGAGCUGGGUUUAAAACGUCGUGAGACAGUUUGGUCCCUAUCUUCCGUGGGCGCUGCAGAUUUGAGGAAGCCUGCUCCUAGUACGAGAGGACCGGAGUGGACACACCUCUGGUGUAUCGGUUGUCACGCCAGUGGCAUUGCCGAGUAGCUAAGUGUGGAAGAGAUAACCGCUGAAAGCAUCUAAGCGGGAAACUCGUUUCAAGAUGAGAUCUGCCGGGGCCUUGAGCCCCCUAAAGAGUCGUUCAAGACCAGGACGUUGAUAGGUCAGGUGUGGAAGCUAAA